AUGUGGGCCGGCCCAUUUCAAGGGUUUGCUUGCGGUAGUUAUGUUUCCUUCUCUAGAGCUGUGUUUCCUGCGCACUCAGCUUUUGUUCCUGACAUAAUCUCGGAAGAGCAGUCAGCUUUUGUUCCUGGCAGGUUGAUCACAGACAACAUCAUCACGGCUUACGAGUGCUUGCAUUUUAUGAAGAGAAACAAAGCAAAGAAAAAUCAAUCCUGCGCACUCAAGCUUGAUAUGAUGAAAGCCUAUGAUAGGGUCGAGUGGACUUAUUUAAAAGUAAUCAUGCUUAAGUUGGGCUUUACAGAUAGAUGGGUGAAUAUUGUUAUGAGCAUGGUUACUACAGUCAAAUUUUCUGUUUUGUUCAACGGGAAGAAGUUGCAACAGUUCAUCCCUUCAAGAGGUAUCAGACAAGGGGACCCGAUAUCUCCAUACUUGUUCUUGCUAGCAGCAGAGGGCCUUUCGUGCCUGUUAAAAUCCAAGAGUGAGUCAUCCAACAUGCAUGGCCUACAGGUAGCUCCUACGGCGCCACCAGUGAGUCAUCUUCUAUUUGCUGAUGACAGUCUGCUAUUUUUCAAGGCAAACGGUGUGGGGGCAAACGAGGUAUACCAAGUUCUGGACACAUAUUUUCAAGCAACUGGGCAACGCAUCAACUACUCAAAAUCAUCAGUAUAUUUCAGCAAAGGGGCGCCGGAUGCGGUGAGACAGGAGAUUAAGGAUACACUCAACGUCCCUAAUGAAACUCUCAACGAGAAGUACUUAGGGAUGCCCUCAGAUAUUGGUAGUUCAAAAUAUGGUGCAUUCAAGUAUCUUAAGGAUCGUUUGUGGAGCAAGGUCCAAGGUUGGAUAGAGCAAACGCUGUCCAUGGCAGGGAAGGAAGUUCUUGUAAAGGCUGUGGCCCAGGCAGUACCGGUGUUCUCUAUGUCCUGUUUUAAACUUCCCAGAGGGCUUUGUGAACACCUAAACAUGUUCAUUAGAAAGUUCUGGUGGGGGAGCAAAGAAGGGAAACGCAAACCUCAUUGGGUUUCCUGGAAAUCUAUGAGAUUUGUCAUUAACAAAAACUAUAGCCUGAAGUUAUCUUUCAAAGUUUGA
rnacentral:rRNA from 1 species